rnacentral:rRNA from 1 species
AAUGAUUUAACUAGAAAAGGCUUAACACAGAGAACUUCGCUAAGCACCCCGAAAUCAGACGAGCUACCUAAAGACAGUUAUUUAUGAACACACUCAUCUAUGUA